GGGAAUGACUUAACUAAGUGCAAUGGUGCCAAUAUGAUAUUCUUCUGAGGCAUCAUUUUCUAGAGGCCAAAUAAGAUGGGUACUUACAAAAGUUGUAAAUGAGCUAAAGCGUUAUCCUCUCAUCAUUAUUGUUGCUAGCCAAUAUGAUAUUCUUCUAAGGUGGGCUUGGUAAUGGUGAGUCUCUCAUACCCUACUAAGAGUUUCAUCCAAAACUCUCGAAUUCCAAUUAGGGAUAUGGAAUUUUCCAAAAAUAGUGGGUGGUGCUAUUUGAUUUAAAGACCCGAAUCAAAUGGCUUAAAAUCAAUCAAUUUAUAUUCGUUAUGUAUUUGUUUACCUAUAUAUUGCAAACGCUAUCCAAAACUUGACAAAGAAAAGCCGAAUGCUUUAGUUUCCGGACUUGGUACAACAAUCCCAAAGAUUGUCUUAAAUGGAUUGUAUAUAUACCUAAGUAGUCUCAUCCUUACAAUCUUUCUAUUGAUAAUGUAUCAUUGGAAGAACAUGUUAGAUAAGUCUAUCAUGAAGAGGACAACACAAACAACCAAUGCUUAUUCCUUCGUUAUAUGAACAAAGGAACUUACGAAGAUUAGCAUAAAGACAAGGACACUUUUAGUGUUGUUAGUUCUUCACUUACAAAUCGUUGUAUGAAGAAAUAAGAGUUGCUUUGAACAACCCUUAGCUAAUGCAAACACUAGUGCUUGUUUCUUUGUUAAAUGAACAAAGAACUUGAGAAGAAAGCACAAGGGCAUGGACACUUUAUGUGCCAUGAUUCUUCACUUACAAAUUGUUGUAUGAAGAAAUGAGAGUUGCCUUGUAACAACUCUUGAAAGUUUGUAAUUAUGUUUAGAACAUAAUGGUUGGUUGACAAAAAUAGUCCAUCAACAUGGACUUAUGAUGAUUUUGAAUCAUUGAGUGUUAAAGUGUUAAACCACUUCUAGAAACGGAAACUAGGCAAGGACUUCACUUUUGUGUCCCUAUCCAAAUGGUUCACUAAGUUUAUUGUAAACUAUAUAGUGAACAAUAACCACACACUCUCCAAAUCGUUUGAUGUGUAUAACACAAUUGAAAUAAGUUUCAAGAGAGACAGUGGGAGUUUAGGGACCAUGACUAUUGUAGACAAAGGAGAAGUCAAAUGAAGAAAGCAAAAUAACUCCAAGAGAACAAACUUUCUUUAUGAAAGGAUGGACAUUGGAAGGGGUAUUUGCAAGAAAUGUCUUGCAAGUGUCAAGAACACACCUUUCGAAGGUGUUGUAAAUUAUUCUUGAAAAGUUCAAAACAGUUGGUUCUUCUCCUUGAAUGCUUGAUUCCGUAUUAGUAACUAUGUUUUACAAUCGUUGUAAAAGUGUGGCUAAUAAAAGGUAGAAGAUAUAUGAGAGAAGAAAAAGGUGCUUCACAUUCGGAACGUGAAUAAAAUAAAGAUCUCUGCGAAAGCAGAUAGUACUUACUUCCUCAUAUGAACUACCAAAGAAAUUGGAAAAACUAAAGAUUGUCUGUACAUUCCAAUUUUAAGGAACUUAAUUCCAUCACUAUAAGGGAUGGAUGAAUGUUUUGUUUGACAAAACAUUGUUCUUUAUUAAUGAAUGAUUAGAUUAUUGUAAUCUAAUUAAUUAUCUCUAUAGUAGAGAUGAUAUGGUAGUGUUAACUGUUUAGAAUAUAACGAUGCUUAAAACCCAAAAGGUUGCAAGGUAGUGACUAAUCUCAACUGAGUUGUGAUACCUCUAAAACAUAAAUUACGAGUUGGUCAUAGAUGGAUGCUUUGGAUCGUU
rnacentral:lncRNA from 1 species